UGACCAAUCAAGCUCUGCUUGGCUUUGGGGCCCGCUGUACCGGCGGCUCUUAAAACUAGUGGCGGUGCCGUCUGGCUCUAAGCGUAGUAAUACUUCUCGCUAUAGUGUUUAGGCGUCUACCCGCCAGAACCCCCCAACUUUCUUA
rnacentral:misc_RNA from 1 species